rnacentral:other from 1 species
AUACCCCUGCGGUAUGCGUGAUCGUGAUAAUGUCUUGAGCCAACACUCGAUUCCAGCGGGGACGAACGUUCUCGUCGGGGAUGACGGCUUACGCUGACUGAACUGAGGCGAGACAGUCCCAUUCGUUAUGGGAGCGGGUCAAGACUUUCAGGACACGGUACAUGCGGGGAUUUU